AGCUUUUCCCAGUGGCAGUAUUGUAGCCAGUGAGGUUUAUCCGUGGUGCAAUUAUUGCUAAUUGAAAG
rnacentral:snRNA from 1 species